UACGUAGGGGGCAAGCGUUGUCCGGAUUUAUUGGGCGUAAAGAGCGUGUAGGCGGUAGGUAGGUGGGUUGUGAAACUGGACGGCUCAACCUUCAGGACGUCGACCCAAACCCCCCUGGCUAGAGUCCGGAAGAGGAGAGUGGAAUUCCUGGUGUAGCGGUGGAAAUGACGCAGAUAUCAGGAAGAACACCCGUGGCGAAGGCGGCUCUCGUGGGACGGUACUGACGCUGAGACGCGAAAGCGUGGGGAGCGAACAGGAUAGAU
rnacentral:rRNA from 1 species